rnacentral:rRNA from 1 species
AUGGAGGGGCGUCGAUAUGCAUCUAUGUCGGUGGGAGCGAGGUGGUGGGCUCAAGCACGCAUCCACAAUGAUCGACGGCGCGGGCAUGCAUCCAUGGGGCCGGCGGCAUGGGCAUUGAAUCCAUGGUGGAUGGCGGCGCAGUCCCGAGACCCUGGCGGUGGUCGGCAGGGGGAGAUAGAGGCCCAUGGCCAUGGCCAUGCUCAUGUGGGUCGGCAGGAGGCACGCCGGCCGGAGGCGGAUCCGUGGCAGGCGAGCUCCGACGGGGGCUCACGGCGACGCCGCUCGACGCUCCAAGGGUCGGCCAUGGUGGGGUGA